rnacentral:snRNA from 9 species
GUACGUACCUGGCGUCGGGAUACAGUGAUCAUGCAGGCGGUUCCCCCAGGGUGCGGCUGCUCCAUUGCACUGCGGAGUGGUUGACCCUUGCGAUUAUUUUUAUUUUUUGUAAAUUUCAAUUCUACCGUGUGUGUCACUUGCACACC